UCUCUACCAAAAAUACAAACAAUUAGUGGGCCUGGUGGCGUGUGCCUGUAAUCCCAGUUACUCAGGAGGCUGAGGCAGGAGAAUUGCCUGAACCCAGGAGGCAGAGGUUGCGGUAAACCAAGAUCGCACCAUUGCACUCCAGCCUGGGUAACAAGAACGAAACUCUGUCUCAAAAAAAAAAAAGACAGAAACAGUAAUCACCAAAGUGAAUGUGAGUUUCACAAUCCACAGAUUCAGAUGCAAGAAGUGACAUUUUAUCUUCCUAUUACAACUGAAUUGUAUUCCUAGACCUGACUCGGCCCCAUGAAAGGAAAAUUAAUGUAGUUCAGCCAGUGAAUUCAAUCAUCACAGGCCAAUUUGGUCAAAGAAGGUUCCACAUUCACACCCACACCUUCCAGAGUGGGAAUCAGAAAAGUAAGUGGGCUCUGGUUCUCUCAAUGUCCACAACGCUUACCUCUCAGGAUCUUCUAAGAUGGGCCGUCACAUAGAGGAGGGGCCUGCAUACAGAAAGCAGACGGAGUUUCGCUGCUGUUACCCAGACUGGAGUGCAAUGGCACAAUCUCGGCUCACCGCAACCUCUGCCUCCUGGGUUCAAGCAAUUCUCCUGCCCCAGCCUCCCAAGUAGCUGGGAUUACAGGUACAGAAGAGCAUAGAAGAGGAGGUAGUGGUAGCUGUUAAAUUUUGUGAAGAUGAAUAAAUCAGAACGCCAUCAGAACGACAGAUUCAAGACCUUCAAAAACCAAAAUACAGUCUAAGGAAUUAAAAUCUAAGCAUAAUGUACUUCAAAUUAGCAAUAAAUAUAUAAUUUCCAAAAAAUAGUUGCCUACUACGUGCUAGGUUUUGUACUGCAUGCUCUUAUUUGUCACAACUGUGUGAGGCAUUUUCCCCAUCUUACCCACAGGGAAACUGAAGCUCAAGUUAUAUGAGCUUCCUGAUGUCACAUCACUAGUAGGUGAUAGGCAGAGCAAAAUUUGA